CCUUGACGGACUGUGCACGUUUGCUAUGUCUAGGCAGCCAAGGCAGGACGCACCAUUUACCGCCGGCUACGAGAGGUCACCAACCGCCCCGCACCGUUCCUGACGUCCGCACCCACGCCCCCCGCCCGCCUCCAGCGGUGCGCUCGCUCCUCGGGGCUUGACGUCAAGGCGGUCCAGGAGCAUGCGCAAUGCGGCCCCUCGGCAGGCCAGGUUCCGAGUGUGCGUCUUCGGGAAACUUAUGUGCGCUAGUCGGUUCGCUCGAUGCCUGGGCUUGUGGGUCGAAUUGAGGUGCCGGAGUCCGCUACUGCCUAGCGCGCCUGGCGGGAGCCGCCGGCGUUGGCCACCCGCCGCCUGGGUGUGUGCCCCAGUGACCACAGGUGCCCCGGCGUCAGUUCUGGAAGAAACCUGAGAGCAGGGUGGCUUGGGUCGUGGGAGCCAUGGUGAAGACGAACAGUGUCCCUGACGGAUAAACUUAUUGGAGUUCAUUGUACUAAUGGAAUUAAGAGAACAGGAUGUCUUAUAUGUAGGUACCUUAUUGAUGUUGAAGGCUGGGAUCCAGAUAUAGCAAUUCAAGCUUUUGGUGAGGCCCAGGAUCAUCAAAUAGAUGGAUGUGCAUGCUUGAAGAAUCUCAAAACUCGGCCCAUGAGAAGAAGCCGGGGACAAAAACGACGACCUUGUCUAACCACCAUGAAUACCCACCUCAUGGUGAUUUUCAGGACCAGGACUUACCUGUGCAAGGUUUUAAUUACCUCAAUACAGGUGGUUUUCAAAGGCAAAAACCUUUCCGCAAGCACUGUUCUCAUGAUGAAAUGAAUUUGGAAGAUGUAGAAUAUGCUGAUGAAGCAUCAGAGCACAGACUGGGACCUUUACGUGACCAUUCCAACAAUGACUUCUCAGAGAUAUACCAUUGAAAAUGUUCAUAGAAGUCAUGGGCAAAGACUACCACCCUUUCAAAAGUUUCAAAAACAAAUGAAGUUAAGAAGUUUUGAUUUCAACAGCAGAACCAGGCCAAGGCAAGUGUCCUACUGUAACAGCCAGCCUAGUGAUCCACAAGAACAGAUGCUAUUGGAACAGCUGGACUUUGAACAGGAAACAUCUUUACAAAGAUCAAGAUCUUCUCAUAACCACGCAACUCCUGAUAACAUAAAUCCUGAUUGGAAUUUAGAUAAGUGGAAGCAUCAGGAGAGCACUGACCCCACUGAAAUUGAAGUGCAAGACAAGAAGGAGAAAGACUGAUCUUUCCAGAAGAUAAUCAAAGAAUACAUCCUUCAAAUGGAUUUAACUGCAGGAGACAGAGCUUAUUCACGCCAUAUUCUUCACGGGGACUUCCAUUUUCACGUGUAUUCCAAGAAGAUGGUUCAGUUGACUAUUAUAGAGGUAAAAGUAUAAGAGAUAUGGAACAGCACAAAAGAUCAUAUUUUUAACCUACUGAUUACAAUUAUGGUAUGCUUGUAGAUUGCGGAGCUGAAGAGAAAGGGAAUACUCUGAUUUACCAUCAAGAAAAACUGCAAUUGGUGCUGAGCAGUUUGCUUUAAAAACUGCCCACUGUUUAUCUGUAUUUGCCCCUUUUUCAUUGUUACUGGGCCAAAAAUCAUUUCACAACAAAAAAAUAACUUGUAUGUCAAAAGGCAACUUUUGUUAUUAUAAAAUUAGCCAUCAACAUCUUUUAAUUUUUUGUAAGAGUAUUUAUAAAUAUAAGGAAACUAACAAUGUGGAGUACAUAUAAUUAUUGCUUUUUCAAAACUAGAAAUCUAUUUGAUUUCUUGAAGGUCUGUUUUUAGUUAUAUAUGCUAAUGAAUUGCAUUUCUGGUUGCAAACUUUGUAAAAAAAUAAUUUAUGAUUCAUUUAUUCAUUUUACAAAUAAUUAUUGUGUGCAUAUGGUAAGAGAUUGUAGCUUCCACUGAGCAGGUUAAACAACAAAAUCAUAGUGUUUAAAAACCCAUCAUAACUAAAUUCCUGAAAGUGACUAGCUCUUUCAUCCCUGGUAGAGUGACAGGAGAAGGAAAAAGCCAUCCUAGACAGAGAUAAAAGAAACCAGCUGAACUUGAAUUUUUAAAGGUUGCAUGUAGCUUGCAUUAUGGUUCACCUACCAGCUCUUUCCUGUGGGCCUCUCCCCAAGAGCACAGCGGUAGUAUACGGAAAGCUAGAGGCAAGACAGAAGACUGGGAGAAAUCACUCUGAGGUACACAGGAUCUCACUGAGUGCAAGGGAGUAGCUCCCCAAAGGCAGAGGGCAGGGUAAACAGAAAUUUCCUUAGGUACAGGAAACUGACGAAAAAAGAAAC
ensembl:lncRNA